AGCAGCCAGAUCUCUCUCUCUUUUUCUGUCACCAAGAGAAAGUGGAACCUCUGCCACAGAAAUGCACUGGCCUAUGGCAUUACUCUGGGCCAGCUAAGCAAAUAAUUUCAGCCAGAGAAACAA